AAUCAACGCUGGCGGCGUGCCUAACACAUGCAAGUCGAACGCGAAAGCCCGCAAGGGUAAGUAGAGUGGCGCACGGGUGAGUAACACGUGGACAACCUGCCUUCGAGUGGGGAAUAACCUUCCGAAAGGAGGGCUAAUACCGCAUAACACCUCGGGACACAAGUUCUGGGGUUGAAAAGAGCAAUUUGCUCGAAGAGGGGUCCGCGCCUGAUUAGCUAGUUGGUGAGGUAACGGCUCACCAAGGCUUCGAUCAGUAGCCGUCCUGAGAGGGAGCACGGCCACACUGGAACUGAGACACGGUCCAGACUCCUACGGGAGGCAGCAGUGGGGAAUUUUGGCAAUGGGCGAAAGCCUGACCAAGCAACGCCGCGUGGGUGAUGAAGUAUCUUGGUACGUAAAACCCUUUCGGCAGGGACGAACCUAAUGACGGUACCUGCGGAAGAAG
rnacentral:rRNA from 1 species